CGCCUGUUUAUCAAAAACAUCGCCUCUUGUUCAAUUAUAGGAGGUCCAGCCUGCCCAGUGACUUUGUUCAACGGCCGCGGUAUCCUAACCGUGCGAAGGUAGCGUAAUCACUUGUUCUUUAAAUGAGGACUAGUAUGAAUGGCCCCACGAGGGCUGCACUGUCUCCUUUUUCUAAUCAAUGAAACUAAUCUCCCCGUGAAGAAGCGGGAAUUAUCCUAUAAGACGAGAAGACCCUAUGGAGCUUUAAACAAUUGAAACAUUUGCUUUUCUCCUAACUCCUCCCGAGCCCUUUAUUUUUAUUUAAGCAUUAUUAUUUCUAGUUUUAGGUUGGGGUGACCACGGAGCAAAACUAAACCUCCAUGAAGAAAUGAAUAUUUUUAAGCCACAAACUACUUUUUUAAGCAUCAACAAAUUGACCUUCAUUGACCCAAUAUAUUGAUCAACGAACCAAGUUACCCUAGGGAUAACAGCGCAAUCUACUUCAAGAGCUCAUAUCGACAAGUAGGUUUACGACCUCGAUGUUGGAUCAGGGUAUCCUAGUGGUGCAGCCGCUANUAAUGGUUCGUUUGUUCAACGAUUAAAACCCU
rnacentral:rRNA from 1 species